GACGAACGCUGGCGGCGUGCUUAACACAUGCAAGUCGAACGGAAAGGCCUGCUUUCCCUUGUGGAUUGCGGGUACUCGAGUGGCGAACGGGUGAGUAACACGUGAGUGAUCUGCCCCCAACUUGGGUAUAAGCCUGGGAAACUGGGUCUAAUUCCCGAUAGGACUGCAGGGUGGUGCCUGUGGUGGAAAACGAUUUUCUAGUGGUUGGGGAUGAGCUCGCGGCCUAUCAGCUUGUUGGUGGGGUAAUGGCCUACCAAGGCGGCGACGGGUAGCCGGCCUGAGAGGGGGGACGGCCACAUUGGGACUGAGAUACGGCCCAGACUGCUACGGGAGGCAGCAGUGGGGAAUAUUGCACCAUGGGCGGAAGCCUGAAGCAGCGACGCCGCGUGGGGGAUGACGGCCUUCGGGUUGUAAGCUCCUUUCGACCGCGAGGAAGCCACCUGGUUGGAAGGGUGGUGACGGUAGUGGUAGAAGAAGCACCGGCUAACUACGUG
rnacentral:rRNA from 1 species